UGAGGAAGCACCGCUCUCUCUGUUUCUCUUUCUGUGGGAAAUCAUGGCCUCCAGCCUCUGCUUCUAAGCCGAGGAGAAAUAUGAAAACGAAACCGCCCUGUACCAGUCUCAGCCCCCAAGUUAAGGAAUGUGAAAGGUGAGGAGUCGCCAUGGCAACAGCAGUACCAGAAAAGUGCCAGAAAACACCAGCCUUCCCUUCAGAGGCUCUGCUGCUGCUGGUCAUGAAACCCCAUCAUCACUUAAAUCGCUCCAUUUUAAAGGCAGUUAAGGUGUCCCUCCGCCGCCUGUCCUCAUCUCUUCUGCAGUUACCACUUUUGUGUAUUCAUCUCAGGGUGUUGUAAUUCCCAGCUGACACAUCAUCAACAUCAGCUUCUUGAGG